rnacentral:rRNA from 1 species
AAUUUGAAAUCUGGCCCUUUCGGGGUCCGAGUUGUAAUUUGUAGAGAGUGCUUCGGGGGAGACCGCGGUCUAAGUCCAUUGGAACAUGGCGUCCCAGAGGGUGAGAAUCCCGUAUGUGACCGUGGCUCGAGCCCAUGUGAAGCCUCUUCGACGAGUCGAGUUGUUUGGGAAUGCAGCUCUAAAUGGGUGGUAAAUUUCAUCUAAAGCUAAAUAUUGGCUGGAGACCGAUAGCGCACAAGUAGAGUGAUCGAAAGAUGAAAAGCACUUUGGAAAGAGAGUUAAACAGUACGUGAAAUUGUUGAAAGGGAAGCGCUUGCAACCAGACCUGCCCGUAGGCGAUCACCCGCUGUUCUCAGCGGUGCACUCGUUCUGCGAUCAGGCCAGCAUCGGUUCUGGCGGUCGGAUAAAGGCCUUGGGAAUGUAGCUUCCCUUCGGGGGAGUCUUAUAGCCCUCGGUGCAAUGCGGCCAGCCGGGACCGAGGACCGCGCUUCGGCUAGGAUGCUGGCGUAAUGGUUGUAAGCGACCC